AUGAGGUGUGGAUAGCGGAGAAAUUCCAAUCGAACCCGGAGAUAGCUGGUUCUCCCCGAAAUAGCUUUAGGGCUAGCGUCGCGCGAAGUCACGUGAAGGUAGAGCACUGAAUAUGUGAUGGCCUCAUCCCGAGGUACUGAGCAUAAUCAAACUCCGAAUGUCACGAGGACAUGCGCGGCAGUCAGACUGCGGGUGAUAAGGUCCGUAGUCAAGAGGGAAACAGCCCAGACCAUCAGCUAAGGUCCCAAAAUAUAUGCUAAGUGGAAAAGGAUGUGGAGAUGUCCAGACAACCAGGAGGUUGGCUCAGAAGCAGCCACCCUUUAAAGAGUGCGUAACAGCUCACUGGUCGAAUGACUCUGCGCCGAAAAUUUACCGGGGCUAAGCAUAAUACCGAAGCUAUGGAUUUAUAGAGAAUAUAAGUGGUAGGGGAGCGUUCCAGUCAGCGAGGAAGCAUGAUCGUAAGGACAUGUGGAGCGGCUGGAAGAGAGAAUGCCGGUGUGAGUAGCGGCACGUGGGUGAGAAUCCCACGCACCGAAGACCCAAGGUUUCCAGAGGAAGGUUCGUCCGCUCUGGGUAAGUCGGGACCUAAGGCGAGGCCGAGAGGCGUAGUCGAUGGACAACGGGUGGAUAUUCCCGUACCUGGCGUGAGGGCGAUGGAGUGACGGAGAAGGCUAGGCGAUCCAGCUGCUGGAAUAGCUGGUGCAAGCGAGGUAGGGGACAUCCAGGCAAAUCCGGAUGUCAUAACCCGAAGACGUGAAGCGUAUGGAACAUUACGAUAAGUACAGAAGUCGCCGAAGCCAUCUUCCAAGAAAAGCUUCUAGCGAUACCUCAAGUCAGCCCGUACCGAAAAUGGACACACAUGGGUGAGGAGAGAAUCCUAAGGUGAGCGAGAGAACUAUAGCUAAGGAACUCUGCAAAAUGACUCCGUAACUUCGGGAGAAGGAGUGCUCAGUGAAAGCUGAGCCGCAGUAAAACGGCCCAAGCGACUGUUUACCAAAAACACAGCUCUCUGCCAAGACGCAAGUCGAAGUAUAGGGGGUGACGCCUGCCCGGUGCUGGAAGGUUAAGAGGAGUGGUCAGUCUUAAGGCGAAGCCAUGAAUUGAAGCCCCAGUAAACGGCGGCCGUAACUAUAACGGUCCUAAGGUAGCGAAAUUCCUUGUCAGGUAAGUUCUGACCCGCACGAAAGGCGUAACGAUUUGGGCGCUGUCUCAGCUGUAGACUCGGUGAAGUCUUAGUACCUGUGAAGAUGCAGGUUACCCGCGACUAGACGGAAAGACCCCAUGGAGCUUUACUGUAGCUUGAUAUUGGAUUUUGAUGCAUGAUGUACAGGAUAGGUAGGAGACAAAGAGACGGAUACGCCAGUAUUCGAGGAGUCGACGUUGGGAUACUACCCUUGAUGCAUUGAAGUUCUAACCGGACGUCGUGAAGCCGAUGACGGGACAGUGUCAGGUGGGCAGUUUGACUGGGGCGGUCGCCUCCCAAAGAGUAACGGAGGCGCCCAAAGAUACCCUCAGCAUGGUUGGAAAUCAUGCGCAGAGUGCAAAGGCAGAAGGGUGUUUGACUGCGAGACAUACAGGUCGAGCAGGGACGAAAGUCGGGCUUAGUGAUCCGGCGGUGCCGAAUGGAAGGGCCGUCGCUCAACGGAUAAAAGCUACCCUGGGGAUAACAGGCUGAUCUCCCCCAA
rnacentral:rRNA from 1 species